rnacentral:rRNA from 1 species
UACAGAGGGUGCGAGCGUUAUUCGGAAUUACUGGGCGUAAAGCGCGCGUAGGCGGCUUUGCAAGUCUGGUGUGAAAUCCCCAGGCUUAACCUGGGAACUGCAUUCGAGACUGCAUUGCUAGAGUAUGGGAGAGGGAAGUGGAAUUUCCGGUGUAGCGGUGAAAUGCGUAGAUAUCGGAAGGAACAUCAGUGGCGAAAGCGACUUCCUGGACCAAUACUGACGCUCAUGUGCGAAAGCGUGGGGAGCAAACAGG